GUGGAAUCCGAAGUACGUUCUAAUAUAAGCAAUAUUAGUUUUUAUCAUAUUUUAUAAAAUGCUAUCUUUUAGAAAAGUUACUUGUUUACUGCAAAAUGAAUUAAGCCAACUUAGAUCAAUGGGAUGGUCUCCUGUAUCUUCAUCUCACAAAGUGCUGUUCACAAUUUUAUCUAAAACAAAUUAUUCUACAUCAACUAAUCGGGCGACAGUGGACGACAACGAGUUAGAGAGAUUCAACAAAUUAGAUUGGUGGGACCCAAACAGCGCCUUACGGGGAUUACAUACUUUUAACGAACUCAGAAAGAAUUACCAACAGCCAAUAACUCCACGCAUUCAUUAAAUUUUUUUUUUUUAGAGUUCCAUUUAUUAGAGAUGCGCUUACAGGUGGUUCAAUGGAUAAACAUUCAUUAGAUGUGUUCACGGAUAAGAAAGUGCUUGAAGUUGGUUGUGGAGCUGGAAUUUUUUCAGAAGGAAUUGCAAAAGCUGGGCUUAAUAUAACAGGAAUCGAUCCAUGCCCGGAAUUAAUUGAUGUUGCGCAAAAUCACAGCGAUUCAAACCCAGAUAUUGCAAACAACAUACCAACGUAUUAUUGCACAACUAUUGAG